rnacentral:rRNA from 1 species
UCUCCAGACUCCUACGGGAGGCAGCAGUGAGGAAUAUUGGUCAAUGGCCGGAAGGCUGAACCAGCCAAGCCGCGUGAAGGAAGAAGGCGCCAAGCGUCGUAAACUUCUUUUGUCGGGGAACAAAGGGCGCCACGUGUGGCGUUGUGAGUGUACCCGAAGAAAAAGCAUCGGCUAACUCCGUGCCAGCAGCCGCGGUAAUACGGAGGAUGCGAGCGUUAUCCGGAUUUAUUGGGUUUAAAGGGUGCGCAGGCGGAGGUGCAAGUCAGCGGUCAAAUUGCGGGGCUCAACCCCGUACUGCCGUUGAAACUGCAUCCCUUGAGUGCGCGAGAAGUAUGCGGAAUGCGUGGUGUAGCGGUGAAAUGCAUAGAUAUCACGCAGAACUCCGAUUGCGAAGGCAGCAUACCGGCGCGCAACUGACGCUCAUGCACGAAGGCGUGGGUAUCGAACAGGAUUAGAUACCCGAGUAC